GACGGAGGAUGCAAGUGUUAUCCGGAAUCACUGGGCGUAAAGCGUCUGUAGGUGGUUUAAAAAGUCUAUUGUUAAAAAUUGAAGCUUAACUUCAAAGAUGCAAUGGAAACUUUUAAGCUUGAGUAUGGUAGGGGUAGAGGGAAUUUCCAGUGGAGCGGUGAAAUGCGUAGAUAUUGGAAAGACCACCAAUGGCGAAGGCACUCUACUGGGCCAUUACUGACACUGAGAGACGAAAGCUAGGGGAGCAAAUGGG
rnacentral:rRNA from 1 species